AUGGAGGAACUCGCAAAAGAACUUGGUACCCCUGUUAAGUUUCAACGCCUCUGGUUGUGCCAGCGACGGCAAAACGGAACACGCCGCCCUAGCAGACCAUUGAAUUCCAAAGAAAAGAAACUAUCUAUCGGAAGGGUUUUUUCGGCUGAUGUGAAGCUGUUUUUGGAGGUGCUCAAUCCUUGUUCUCCACGAAAUCUAAACAGGGAAUAUCUAUUGGUGUUUUUAAAGUUCUAUGACCCAGAACAAACACAGCUGCGAUAUAUCGGAACGCUGUUUGUGAGUUGUUCAUCAAGGCCUUUAGAUAUUCUCCCAAAACUAAGAAGUUUAGCUGGUUUUUGUGCAGACGAGGAAAUAGAAUUGUAUGAGGAAAUCAAAUUCGAACCAAAUGUGAUGUGUGAAGCCUUAGACAUUCAUCAUACCUUUACAGUCAACCAGAUUGAAAAUGGUGACAUCAUCUGCUUCCAGAAAAGACCCAAGUCAUGCAACCAGCAUUUAUACCCUUCUGUUAAAUUGUUCCUCGAACAUGUUCAUAAACUGACGAAAGAAGGAAGGAAGAUAUGUGCUCUAGAAGAGGAGAUUGUUGAAUUCAGACGUCUUUCUGAUCUUAAUAUAGCGGCAAACUUGGAAUGUACUCAGUUGAGACAUGAACGAGACAAUGCAAUGCUACAGGUGGAUGAGUUUCGGGGUCAGAAUGAUUUAGUUCGCCUUCAAAUAGAAGAGGCAAAAAAAGAGUGUAACCAGUUGAGACAUGAACUAGACAAUGCAAUGCAACAGGUGAACGAGUUUCGCGGUCAGAAUGAUUUAGUUCGCCUUCAAAUAGAAGAGGCAAAAAAAGAGUGUAACCAGUUGAGACAUGAACGAGACAAUGCAGUGCGACAGAUAGAUGCAUUACUGAAUCAGAAUACUGUGGGUCGCAUCCAAAUAGAAGAGGCAAAAAUGGAAUGUAGUCAGUUAAAGCAUGAACGAGAUAAUGCAGUUCGACAGGUGGAUGAAUUAUGGGAUAGGAACUCUCAAUUUAUUCUCGAGUUCCGCUUUACAUGUUUGGAACAAGCAACAGAGCAUUUCAAGGACCUGUGCAAGAUCGGGGACACUGAAUAUGGAUGUGUGUAUAAAGGCAUUAUAAACAACACUACGGUAGCAAUCAAGCUGUCCAAAUCCGAGAGUUUGUUUCAACAAGAGGUCUCUGUUCUUCGUCAAGGAGGGAGACAUGCAAACAUUGUCACCUUUGUUGGAAUGUGCUCUGAAGUUUCGGCUCUUGUGUACGAGUGGUUACCUAAGGGAAACCUUGAAGACCGCAUUUUGUGUGCCGAUGACACUCCACCUCUAUCAUGGCACAUCCGUACACAGAUCAUCGGUGAGGUUUGCUGUGCACUACUCUUCCUUCAUUCACACAAGCCUAAUGCCUCGGUCCACGGUGAUCUCCGGCCUUGCAACAUCCUCAUCGGUGCUGACUACAGAAGCAAGCUCUACAACUUUGGUAUGUCCACCUUAUUUCUCCAGCCUGGCAGCUGUCCACCAAACCUAACAGCAAGGCUUCCGUACACGGAUCCGGAGUUCCUCACCAUUGGGGACCUCACACCCCUUUCUGAUGUCUACUCACUGGGUGUUGUUAUCCUUCGCCUUUUGACUGGAAUGCCCCCUUUGGCUAUCGCAAAGAAAGUUAGAGAAGCAUUUCAAAGUGAUAACCUGCACUUGCUGAUAGAUAAAUCAGCCGGGGACUGGCCUUACACACAAGCCAAGCAGUUAGCACUCCUUGGCCUUAGGUGUGUAGAAAUGACGAGGGAAAAGCGGCCUCAUCUGACUGAGGUUUGGACCGUUGUUGAGGCCCUGGUCAGAAAGCCUCCUGCACCCUCAUGCCCUGCCCACUUCAUUUGUCCAAUCCUCCAGGAGAUCAUGAACGAUCCUCAAAUGGCAUCAGAUGGAUUUACCUAUGAAGCGGAAGCCAUAAGACGCUGGCUUGAUGGCGGGAGCAAUAGGUCUCCGAUGACGAACUUGGCACUUCCAAAUCGUGUUCUCAUCCCUAAUCGCGCCCUCCGUUCUUCCAUCCAGGAGUACCUUCAGGCGUCAGUAGCGAAGGCAGUCAGGUCCCUGAACCUCAAUCAUUGA
rnacentral:rRNA from 1 species